rnacentral:rRNA from 1 species
GUGCAGCAGGCGCGAAUUUUUCACAAUGGGGGAAACCCUGAUGGAGCGACGCCGCGUGGAGGAUGAAGGCGUUUUCGUCGUAAACUCCUGUCAUGCGAGAACAAGAAAGUGAUAGUAUCGCAAGAGGAAGAGGCGGCUAACUCUGUGCCAGCAGCCGCGGUAAUACAGAGGCCUCAAGCGUUGUUCGGAUUCAUUGGGCGUAAAGGGUGCGUAGGUGGCAUGGUAAGUUGAAGGUGAAAUCUCGGAGCUCAACUCCGAAACUGCCUUCAAUACUGCUGUGCUCGAGGACUGUAGAGGAGAAUGGAAUUCACGGUGUAGCAGUGAAAUGCGUAGAUAUCGUGAGGAAGACCAGUGGCGAAGGCGAUUCUCUGGGCAGUUCCUGACACUGAGGCACGAAGGCUAGGGGAGCAAACGGGAUUAGAUACCCGU